rnacentral:rRNA from 1 species
GACGAACGCUGGCGGCGUGCUUAACACAUGCAAGUCGAACGGAAAGGCCCUGCUUUUGUGGGGUGCUCGAGUGGCGAACGGGUGAGUAACACGUGAGUAACCUGCCCUUUACUUUGGGAUAACUUCAGGAAACUGGGGCUAAUACCGGGUAGGAGCUCCUGCUGCAUGGUGGGGGUUGGAAAGUUUCGGCGGUUGGGGAUGGACUCGCGGCUUAUCAGCUUGUUGGUGGGGUAGUGGCUUACCAAGGCUUUGACGGGUAGCCGGCCUGGGAGGGUGACCGGCCACAUUGGGACUGAGAUACGGCCCAGACUCCUACGGGAGGCAGCAGUGGGGAAUAUUGCACAAUGGGCGGAAGCCUGAUGCAGCAACGCCGCGUGCGGGAUGACGGCCUUCGGGUUGUAAACCGCUUUCGCCUGUGACGAAGCGUGAGUGACGGUAAUGGGUAAAGAAGCACCGGCUAACUACGUG